rnacentral:miRNA from 1 species
GACGUCGAUAUUCGGCGUCAUAAACACGAUCAACUUUGGUGUUUAUGACGUCGAUAUUCAACGUCAUAAACACGAUCAACUUUGGUGUUUAUGACGUCGAUAUUCGACGUCAUAAACACGAUCAACUUUGGUGUUUAUGACGUCGAUAUUCGACGUC